rnacentral:rRNA from 1 species
UACGGAGGGGGCUAGCGUUGUUCGGAAUUACUGGGCGUAAAGCGUGCGUAGACGGUUAUUUAAGUCGGGUGUGAAAGCCCCGGGCUCAACCUGGGAAUUGCAUUCGAGACUGAAUAGCUAGGGUACGGUAGAGGGAAGCGGAAUUUCCGGUGUAGCGGUGAAAUGCGUAGAUAUCGGAAGGAACAUCAGUGGCGAAAGCGGCUUCCUGGACCAGUACCGGACGUUCAGGCACGAAAGCGUGGGGAGCAAACAGGA